rnacentral:lncRNA from 1 species
GUUGAUUUUGUUGGUAGAAGGAUAGUCAAGGUUUGGUUGGAUUUUUGUUUUUUUUUUGUCGAGUUAAGGCAUGAUAGGGUUUCUCUAAGAGUCCAGAAUUUGUUUGUUGUGCUUAUUUGGUUUAGAGUCCUCUAAUCUUGUCUUGAUGAUUCUAUCAUAGUAAUUAGUUAUGUCAAUUCAAAUGAGAUCUUCUAAAAGACCUUUAAACUGAUUUUUGGCCUUCUC